GCGUACGUGGUGCAGAGGUAGCAUGGUACCCUCCCAAGGUAUUGGCCCGGGUUCGAUUCCCGGCGUUCGCG